rnacentral:rRNA from 1 species
GUGAGGGAAAGUUGAAAAGAACUUUGAAGAGAGAGUUCAAGAGUACGUGAAACCGUUCAGGGGUAAACCUGAGAAACCCAAAAGAUCGAAUGGGGAGAUUCAACGUAAACUUUGCCGAUUGCCGUGUAACGCGCGAUAUUUGUUAUCUCGGUAACGAGUACGCCGUUGCUGCGGUUUGUAUUGGUUAAGUAAGCGUGCACUUCUCCCCUAGUAGGACGUCGCGACCCGUUGGGUGCCGGCCUACGGCCCGCAAGGUCGACUGUUGCUUGGGCGUUUACGCGCCUCUCGUGGCAGACCUGCGGAUGCCCGGCCGGCUGCCCGGCGGUAGUGAUUAAUCAAGAAUUGGUAUUUGGCCGCAUCUCGUAUGUGCGUACCGGCUCAUUGGCAGGCUCGCCUUGCUCGGUAAACGGACCUAGCGCCGUUGCCGGGUACUUGGUGGGUCGUUCGCUGACGAUGUCCUCGUACUGGCUAUUACCGGUCGGCGACGCUACUGCUUUGGGUACUUUCAGGACCCGUCUUGAAACACGGACCAAA